rnacentral:rRNA from 1 species
CCAGCCCGCUCAGAAACUUAAAUGAAUUGACGGGGGCCCGCACAAGCGGUGGAGCAUGUGGUUUAAUUCGAUGAUACGCGAGGAACCUUACCUGGGCUCAAAUGUAUGUUGACGUAUUCUGAAAGGGAUACUUCUUCGGACAAUAUACAAGGUGCUGCAUGGUUGUCGUCAGCUCGUGCCGUGAGGUGUCGGGUUAAGUCCCAUAACGAGCGCACCCCUAUCAUUAGUUGCCAUCAGGUCAAGCUGGGGACUCUAAUGAAACUGCCUACGCAAGUAGUGAGGAAGGUGGGGAUGACGUCAAAUCAGCACGGCCCUUACGUCCAGGGCUACACACGUGCUACAAUGGCCGGUACAAAGGGCAGCUACCUGGUGACAGGAUGCUAAUCUCAAAAGCCGGUCUCAGUUCGGAUCGGAGUCUGCAACCCGACUCCGUGAAGCUGGGAUCGCUAGUAAUCGCGCAUCAGCCAUGGCGCGGUGAAUACGUUCCCGGGCCUU